UGAACAUCCGCAACCGGUUGU
rnacentral:misc_RNA from 1 species